rnacentral:lncRNA from 1 species
AUAGUCUCCACCUUCCCCAGUGUAGAUCUCUCCACCUCAUCCUUGCCACUACAGACUGAUAAAACAUCUGCAGCAUCUUACUACAGAUGUCUAUUGAUCGGAGUCUUCUCGGGCAAUAGAGGCGGCUCUGCCCCUUGCCGUAGAUGAAGUCUAUAUUCAUAGACCAGUCCAACUUAUUUUCCAGAUGUACACCUAGGUAUUUAUAUGACUUCAAUGUCCACUCCACAGGUGUUCACUGGCUGAAGAGGGGGUUUGGAUCUACGGAAGUCUAUGACCAUCUCCUUUGUCUUUGAGGUGUUGAGGAGGAGGCAGUUUUUGUGACUCCAGACACUGAAGGCUCUUAUCAGAUCUCUGUAUUCAGCUUCUUGUCCAUUUCUGAUACAUGCCACAAUAGCGGUGUCAUCUGAGUAUUUCUGGAUGUGGCAGGACUCAGUGCUGUAUUUGAAGUCUGACGUGUACAGUGUGAACAGGAAUGGCGCCAGCACUGUCCCUUGUGGAGCCCCUGUACUGCUCAUUAAUGUCCCAGAAACACAGUUCCCCAGCCUGACAAAUUGUGGCCUUCCUGUCAGGUAAUAUUCGAUCCAGGAAACACAGGAAGGAUCCACUCCCAUCUCUGUGAGCUUGUCCUUGAGUAUGGUGGGUUGGAUGGUGUUGAAUGCACUUGAAAAGUUGAAGAACAUGAUCCUCACAAAAACCCCAGGUUCCUCCAGAUGAGACAGGGCACGGUGAAUCAUGUAGAAGAGAGCAUCAUCCACUCCAAUGUGUUCCUUAUAUGCAAACUGCAGGGAAUCCAGUUUGUCUUUGACCUCAGACCCCAGAAGGCAUAGAAUCAGCCACUCCAGGGUUUUCAUGAUGUGUGAAGUGAGGGCCAUUGGUAUGUAGUCACUGAGUUCAGCAGCACAUUUUGUUUCUGGUACUGGCACAAUGCAGGAUGUUUUCCACAGAGUAGGCAACCGCCCCAGCUGUAGACUCAGGUUGAAGAUCCUGUGGAGAAGUCGACACAGUUCUGCAGCACAGUCUUCAAGCAGCCUUUGACACACACCAUCUGGACCAGCUGCCUUCUCACGACAAAGUCUUCCAAGCUCCAUCCUCACCCCUGUUUUGAACAGACAAGGACUGGUGUUCUAGGAGGGAGGCAGUUGAAGUGGUUGAGACAUUUGAAUGAGAUGGAGGAGGAAGGGGAGAAGUUGCAGUGGAGAAUUUUGCGGAGAGGAAGGUGGAGUAGCAGUGGAAGUGGGUGUGACAGCAGUGUCAAAUCUGUUGAAGAACAGGUUGAGUUCACCCACCACUGGCUGUCUUUUCUUUUUAUUGCUGUGUCCAGAGAUGGUACUGAGUCCUCUCCACACUUCACAGAUGUUGCUGUGUUGUAGAUUCUUCUCUAUCUUCUUUUUGUACUCAAGCUUUGCCAUCUUCAGUCUCCUCUUCAACUCUUGUUGCACUUGUUUGAGUCAUUCUUUGUCACCAUCUUUAAAAGCUUUCUUUUUCUGGUUAAGGAUUGCUUUUAUGUCACUUGUCAUCCAGGGUUUGUUGUUGGGGAAACAGUGAAUAGUCUUUGUCCGUAUAACUGUGUCUCUACAGAAAUUGAUAUAUUCAGUAAAGCAGUCAACCUGUUUGUCAAUGUUCAUACUAUCCACAUCUGUUUCCAGCAGCACAUUCCAGUCUGUUGAUUUAAACACAUUCCCUAAGAGCUUCACUGGCUUGAGGUGUCCAUCUUCUUAUUUUGACUUCGGUCACAGGCUGCCUCAGCACACAAGGUCCGUAACAGGUUUGCAGAUAGACCAAGUUAUGAUCUGACUUGCCCAGUGGUGGUAAGGCAGUGGCUCUGUUGGCUUCUGUAGUCUAAGAGAGGAGGUAAGCAGGAUUUUUCAUCUUCAACAAUUUAGUUUGAUUUCUUUAUCUUUCAAUAACUCACCAGUUUUUGACUACAAUAGGUCUGUAGGUACUGGAUACUCAGAACAAUUAAUAAAUGUUAACACAUUGAAGUAAACAUAAUUCAUCAUAUAUCUCAUCAGUUUGGGUUACAUUUAAGAGAAAUACCUGAGAUUAAAUUUUGUCAGGAGACUGAGCUCAGUCCAGAGUGGAUGACUACCAGACUAUAAGUAAUAAUUCCAGAGAGGGUGAGUUCCAGGACUAUCUGCAUUGUGAGAAAGGAUGAACAGAAUAUCUAUGACAUCAACUCUGUAACUUCACAUUUUAGACAGUCUUUGCACCUUAUGUAAGAGAAUCAUUAAAGGAAAAGUUUUACAAAUGUUCUCACAUCUUGUAGAGAUCUUAUAAAAGUUAAGUUUCUCUAGGUCUCUCAAAAAAUUCCCCCGCAGUUUCUGAAGAUACUGCAAAAGUAAAUCAGGAUCUUACAAAAAAUUUUGAGUCCUAUAAAAGGUUUUCAGAAUCACAAAUGUUUCUCCAGACCUUGAAACAAAACAAAGUGUCAGAGUGUUAUAAAAGUUUUCUAGUUUUGAAAAAAUUGUCUUAGAAUUUUAAAUUUCUUUUGGGGUUUUCAGGAAUGGUCAGAGUAAAAUCCAAGGAUCUUGUAAAAGUCUUUUGGGUUGUGCCAUAAAUUAUAAGUUUGCAGUAUAUCGUGUAAACUGUAAAAGUUAUUUGUCAGAUGUUUUCAUGGUCUUGCAAAGUGUAUGGAUCUGGCAAAGAUUUUCUCGUAUUCAAGCAAAACUUUUGCAAGAUGUUUCAGAAAAUUUGUACAGUCUGGGAUCUGAAAAAGAAAAAAGAGACUAAAACUUCUUCACAUCUGGAAACAUUUCUCAGGAUCCUACAUAAGAUUGAUGAGACAGAACUCUGUUUUUUUUUUUGUUUUUUUUUAAAUGGCUAAGAGUCCCUCCUGCAGCUACUCUGCCUCCGUUAAACCCGUUUUUCUGGCAUCUGCCCUCUUUCUGUUUGCUGAGUGAAAGUCUGUGUUAGUUUAAUGUUCCUAAUCAUUUAACGGAACAUAAUAAUAGAUAAGAGAGUAAAAUUCAUUUUUGAGUGUGAAAAGAGCAUUUUGUAAGGGAUCAAACUGCCACUUAAUACUUACUUGACAAUGUAAAACAUGAUCAAAAUGAGAAAAUGCAGAUGUCUCACCUGUUUGCACAAUGUUUUUAUAUUUAAUUUUCAGCUGCUGCCAAGUGCAUUUUUGACCCACUGGAUUGCACCUACAUAAAAUAAUUUGCUCCAUGCACGCAGUUUCCCCUGCAACAGUCUGUCAUUGUGAUUGCACAAGACUAGAUUUAAAGUUACGCAUUGACGCGAGCAGCAAUUUCCUCCCAUGCCCUCUCCCUCUCACUUGCAGCUGCUGCUGUAUUGCACUUUCUUUUAAAAACGUGCUGUAAUUCGCCGUUGGCUUGCUGCUGCCCCCUCCUUCUCCCUGUUUCCAUUGGUUGAUCAAUGAAUCUGGGCUCCACAGAUGCUGGCUGUUUAUGUCUGGCGUGCACGUGCUUAACUCCAGGUCAAACUACUCGGAGUUGCUAAAACUGUCUCAAAUCAGGUGUUGUGAAACCGGAAACUCAGAGUUUCCUAUCUCAGAGUAGAUCAACUCAGAGUUAAGGAUUUGACUCAGAGUUUGUUGAACCACCUACGUGAAACGGACCCCAGUACAUUAAGAUAGAGACACCUACCAGUUGCUCACAACAUCUCAGCAACUACCUUGAAAAAGAUGGACGAUGAGAAGCUGGUUUAUGAGGUGGAGAAGUAGUUUAGUUUAGUUUAUUAAGGAUCCCAGUACAAGGAACAUUACGACCCACAGAACAGAUAUUAUAAAGACAUUACCAAAAGAUAAAUAAUUUGGGAGGCUGUUGGGGCAGACCUCGGAGCAUCACGUAAGUAUUAUGUUAUUUAUAUCACCAGUGUUUACAAUUCCCAGUGAAUGUCUGGCUCCUGCAGCAUACAUUCCAUAAAUGUAUCAACUCUGUGUCGAAAUGUACUACCUUGAAAGGGCCAACACAGAGCUGGGACAGUGUGUUUCCCUUCCCCCACAUUGUCAUUAAACUCUGAGGGCCUGGAUUUAUUUUUUUUAUCAAAGAUCAGUUCAGCUGUCUUUAUUUAGCCAUUACUCAAUACUGCAGUUUUAAACUUUUUUUUUAACGUAAUAACGUUUUUAUUGCGGCAAAUUUCUAGUGCAUUUAAUUCAGUUUAAAAAAUAUAUUUUUCAUUGAAACUCAAUAUGAACAAGGAUGAAAAAGAAUUCAGAGUACUGUUUAUUUACAGAACAUUAUGCAACAAAUAACUAAACAAAAGAUAUUACAUUUAUGAGUACAGAUAACACUUUAAAAUCAAACAAAUAUGUACAAAAAGUGUCAACAGUAUGCAUUUUAGACUAUGCGGUCCUGCUAGGGAACACUUCCCUCUGGAGAGUUAAAGAAGGCACUGAAUUUCUCACGAACUUCAUAUGCCUCUCUUCUGCUGCGAUUUCCACCCAUGUUUGGAGGAUCAACAAAGCAUUCCCUUCUUUCCUCCACCUCCCUCAGCCACCUGUGGUUGUCUGUGGGGUUGCUGAGAAAAUUGUGAAGGAUGCAGGCAGCCAGCACAAUACGAUCAACGUUUUCUGGCUGCAAAUUGAUCCUGGUGUAGAACACCCGCCACCUUGCUGCAAGAAUUCCAAAUGUGGACUCUACUACCAUUCUGGCCCAGGACAGUCUGUAAUUGAAAAUCCUCCUCCAUCUUGGAAGCCGCUGACCCGGAAAUGGCCUCAUGAGGUAGAGUUUAAGGGGGAAAGCGGCAUCACCAACCAUGGUGAAGGGCAGUGGACCUUGUUGUCCAGACCCUGGCAGAAGACAGUCAGCAGGGCAGAAGACAGUCAGCAGGCACACCCAGAGUUUUGGCCUCCAUACCUUUCCCCAAGUCAGAGUUGCUGUAGGUGCCUCCAUCACAUGACCUGCCAAAGUCCCCCACCUGGACGUUGACAAAUUGAUAUUCGGUGUCCACCAGAGCAAGCAGUACGACAGAGAAACAUUUUUUAUAAUUGAAAUACAAACUCCCAGAAUUUGAUGGGGCCUUGAUGGUGACAUGCUUGCCGUCAAUAGCUCCGAUGCAGUUUGGGAAGUUCCAUUUCCUCCAAAAUCUAUCAGCUGUCUCCCUCCACCAUUGCUCUGUUGGCGGAGGGAAUUGCACAGCCAUCAUAUUUUUUUCGAUUGCCUGGCACAUCAUGUGCACAGACAUCAUCACUGUGCUCCUCCACAUACAGAACUGGUAAGCCAGGCUGGCAAAACUUUCUCCAGAGGCCAGGAAUCUGUGGAAAUAUGACAAAAAUGUUAUAGAUAUACAUAAAUAAUACCAAGGGUAUACAAUGCAAUGCUUUAUUAAUAUUUUUUUUUCGUUGCUACAGCUGAUGAUUGCAAGAGGAGGUGGAAGCAGUUGAGAGAUGCUUAUGUGAAACAUAAAGGGAAAAAGACUGCAAGUGGGUCUGCUGGUGGCAGCCAGAAAGAAUGGAGACUGGCAUAUCUAUUCUCCAUUAUAGAUCCCUACUUGCAGCCCAGAAGGUUGGUAUUUUUAUUCCAUAUACAUUCAGUUGUAUACAUUUUUUUUAUAUGAAAGCCAUUGAUUGAAAAAUACAUAUCUUGUUUUUAUUUUUCUUAGCACAAAAAGUACUCUCCAGCCAGAGGGUCUGAGAGAAGAAAACAUUGAGGCUGGAGACAAGGGAAUGGGAGGAUCCUCACCACAAUCAUCACUACAAGGGUCAAGGCCUUGCACUCCAACCCCCUUGACAAGACCCUCCUCGCCAUUUCAAAGUGGCUCUGGUCAGAGGUCAGCUAUGACCACAUCACAAGUGAUCCGGUCAGACACCCCACCACCACACCCUAGAGUGCAAGAACUUUCCUCCGACACACAGCAAAGAAAGAAGAAACGUCAGGGCCGGGAAUAUUCCUCAGCUGCUGUGGGAGUGGAGUAGCAGCUCUUCCAGAUACUCACAGCUGAUAAAGUCAGUCCUCCUCUCCAUGUCCCCACCCAUGAAGAGCCAAUGGGAUAUUACUUACACAGUUUCAUCCCAAGAAUAAAUACACUACCACCUGCCCUUCAAAACCGUUUCCGGGGUGAACUUUAACGCCUGAUAGAAAGUCUAGAGGAAGAGGCAAGCAAUACACAACCCCAUUCCAGUACCUGGCAGCAACAAAGCACACAACAAUUCGUUCAUGGACACACAUCAACCCCAAGGAGGUCAGCUGAAAUACAGCCUGCUCCUCAAUCUUUGUACUCGGCCCAUCCCCAGCAACAGGGGAUGAUUGCAGGAAACAUUUUCCACAAUGUCUACCACCCCCAUCUAUCUCACUACAAUAAACAAUCAACGUCACCACAGUCAACCCCCUCCAAUCAGUCCCUCUACUAUUGAUGUCCCUCGGGUCUUAGCACCACCAACAUUGAUUCCCCAUACUCACCAAUACCUGAUUAUGAGGAGCCAGGACCCGUCCCCCACUGUCACUCCCAAUACAGGAAAACACUUUGAGUACCAUGUCAGACAACCUUUCUGUAGACUCUGCCCCUCAGGCGCCCACAUCACCCACUUCAACCACAGCACCCUCAAUGACCUGAUUUUAGAUAAUGGUAUUGACUUAAUGUUUUUACCUGAGACAUGGCUUGGCUCUGAUGAACCCGCAGCACUUAAUGAAACAUCCCCACCUGGUUUUAAUUAUUUACAUUCUUUUAGAGAGGGUAGACGUUAUUGGGGGGACUGCAACAAUUUUUGUAGGUUCACAUGGUUUUAAAGAGGUUUCAUUUGGUGAUUUUAUUUCAUUUGAGUACCAUUCCUUUGUUUUUAACAGUCCCCCUAUAUUUUUUUAACUGUUUACAGGCCACCCAAAAAAAAUGCUCUGCUUUUAUCAGUGAAUUUGCAGAACUAUUAUCAAUCAUUUAUUCAAAGUACAACAAAAUCAUUAUUGUAGGGAAUAUUAAAAUUCACGUUGGUAAUCCAUUUGACUCUUUUAGCUCUGAAUUUUUAAAUCUUAUUAAUUUUAUGGAUUUUAAGCAGCAUGUAUCAAGCUCCACCUACAACAGAGGAAAUAUAUUGGAUCUUUUAAUAACCUUUGGGUUAUUGGCCACUGUGUCCUCUGUUGUGGAUGUGGGCUUGUCCGACCAUCACUGUGUUUUUUAACGUAAUGGAUCUUAUCCAGCAGGAGGCCCCAGAGCGUACUGUCAGGAAACGCUAUCUUACUUCUGAAGUGGCUGCUAAUUUUAGUGAGAUUUUAACUGAUGCUCCAAAGGCUGUUUUACCCUCUGCUUGUGAUUUUAUUGUUGAUCAUUUAAACCAGAAACUUAAGUCAGCAAUAGAUGUUGUUGCACCAUUAAAGGUGAAAAAGAACAAACCAAACAUAAAACCACCAUGGAGAACAAACGAGGUUCUCAAAUUAAAGAAAAGAUGCAGAAUUGCAGAGAGGAGAUGGAUAUGGAUUUUUCAGGAACAAAUCCCCACUUACGACAGAGCAGUAAAACAAGCAAGACAGGACCACUUUUCAAAAUUAAUAACUGACAAUUUCAAAAACCCCAAAAUCCUUUUCUUAACCACUGAACAAUUAACAAGUCCUGUUUUUAAGCAACCUUUUAAUUCAGAUUUAUCCUGUGAAGACCUUGCAGUCCACUUCAGAAUUAAAAUUGACGUUAUCAGGUCAAACUUUUUAAACAGUAAGCCUGAUGAUUUUAGCUCUUCUGAGUCUGUGUUUUUAAAUGGGGAAACACUGGACAGGUUUGUCCUAGUUGAUGCUGCAGAGAUUGAGGAAGUUGUCUCCCAUCUUAGACCAGUGACUUGUGUUUUAGAUCCUAUCCCCACAUCCCUUUUUAAGACCUCUUUUAGUGUUUUUGGGUCAAUGACAUGAUGCCUAAAUAUUCUGUCCAGCUGUAUUUUGUUUAAGUUACAAAAAGGUUUAAAUGUAAAAAUAUACUAUCCAUGUGUAGUAGCUCUCCAAUAUAUGGAGUCGCUUCAACUUUUCAAAAAUCAGGAGUUUUUGGUAAUUUUUCUGAACUUCAACGUGUCAAAAUAUCAUGUGGUGCGACCAUCCAGCCAUGACUGCUGUUUUGAAACCUUCUUUUAAAUUACUCUAAAUCUAUUACAAUUUAGUUUCUGCAAUAUUUCGCAUGAUUUUCAAAGUGUUUUUUAUUCCUGUACAAAAUUGCAAAGCUUUUGCAGUUAUAUUUUUUUCAUAAUAUACAGAUUCAGAUUCAAAUUCAGACAACUUAAUUUAUUCCCUAAGGGCAAUUCUGUUCGCAGUUACCCUGCCGUUUGAUCCAUACAAACACACAAAUCAGCAGACAAACAAACCAGACAAGUGCAAGACGUUCAUAGCAGCGACAACCCCAUUUCCUUGUCAGGACUCACAGAUCAGCAGGAUCAGCAAUAAAUAACUAAAUAAGUACAAAAAAAAAUUAAAGUUCCACAGCGCAGUGGUUAAAAUACAAUAAGAUCCACAAGUAUGGGACACAAGAUAAGAAAUAAAACAAAUAAAACACUCCUGAAGCUCCAGUUCAGCACAGGCCACAUAUGACCAUCAGCCUACUUCCAGGCAUUUAAAAGCCUGAUGGCUGAGGGGAAAAAAGAUUUUGAGUAUCUGUUCGUUUUCUUGGGGGUACAUAGUAGCGCCGCCUAGAAGGCAUAAGAACAAAGUCAGAGAACAGAAUAUGUCCAGGCUGAUCCAAAAUUCCUCUGGCUUUCUUGACCACACGCUUCUCCCAAAGAGAGCUCAGGUCUGUCAUCUGCACUCCUAUGAUCUUGGAGCAGACUUUAACAAUCUGGUUCAGGCUGUUUCUGUCCUUUACAGAUAGUCCCAUAAACCAGCAGAUGAAAGAAAACGUUAACAGACUUUCAAUAAAAUAAUGAUAAAAACAAGAUAAAAUACCCUCAGAAACACCAAAGGAGUUCAGUAGGAGUAACUAUUGACUCUGUAUUGCACACAAACUUUAGGUCAGAGUCAAACACAGUUCCAAGAUACUUGUAGGAGUCCACGAUUUGCACACUUUCUCCAUGGAUGAUGCUAGCCUCAUGUGAAAGUCCUGGGCCCUUUCUUCUGAAGUCAAUGACCAGUUCCUUUGUCUGUUGGACAUUGAGAUCCAGGAGGCUGUUGUCACACCAUUCAACAAACACUGAUAAAGCAUCUCCAAGACCUGACCCAGAACCCUCAAGAAGAGACAGCAGAGCUGUGUCAUCGGAGAAUUUGACAAGAUAGCUGCUGUCCUGGCUAGCCCUACAGCUGUCUGUGUACAGGAUAAAAAGCAGGGGAGAGAGGACACAGCCCUGAGGAGAACCAGUGUUGGACAAUAAGGGUUUGGACAUGUGACCAUUUACAAGGACCCGUUGGACUCUAUUAGUUAAAAAAUUCAAGAGUAGUAGUAAAAUCUGACUCGGCAAUUUAAAAGAAGAGGAGAGUCUCUCGAUUAAAAUAUGAGGCUGCAUUUUAUUAAAAGCUGAUGAAAAGUCGAGCAAAUAAAAGUCGAGCAUGACAUCCUGGUUUUUCAAGGUGCCUAUAAACUCUGUCUAAAAUAAAAAGCUUGGCAUCCUCCACACUUCUCCCGGCUUGAUAGGCAAAUUGUAGAGGGUCGAGUUUGCCCUCAGUUAAGGAGAUGACUUCUUUUAAAAUGUUUUCAAAUGUAUUUCAAAUGGAUGUCAGGGCCACAGGUCUGAAAUCAUUUAAGUCUUUUGGUUUAUUUGACUUAGGCACAGGAAUUAUUGUUGCUGUUUUCCAAAUCAAUGGAAUCUCACCCCUGUUGGCACAUAUCUGAAAAAGAUAAGUGAACACCUCACUGAGCUGGACAGCACAGUGACGCAGUGUGCGUCCACAGAUGAAGUCAGGGCCAGCAGCCUUCCUAAUGUCAACUCUACUUAACAAAGAUGUGACUGUUUCCCGGGCAAUCACCAAGACAGAAUCAUUAACAAGGGACUCUCACAACAUGGAGAUAUUACAAAGGAAAUCAGACCUUUACCAGCGAGAAAAAAAACAAAUUAAAGACAUCUGCCAAGUCAUUGUCACUCACAUCACUGACUGUGACAGAAUGCUUAGUUUGAGUGGAUUGGUUGAUGGAUGCCAUGGACUUAAUUCCACUCCAAGCUGCCCUAAACUGGUUUUCAAUUUUAUUCCUAUACUUCAGUUUUGCCUUCUUUACUUCUGCCUUUACCUCCCUGGAGGCGGCUUUUAUUUCUAUUGUCACCCCAGAAUAGAAGACCCUUUUCUUAUUAUUGAUGACUGAUUUCAGUUCUUUUGUGACCCAGGGCUUAUUAUUUGGGUAAGUAGUCACCUUCCUAGUUGGAAUAACCAGGUCCACACAAAAAGUAAUGUAAGAGGAUAUUGUCUCUGUAAGUUCGUUCAUAUCCUCACAAGCAUCAUAAAAGCACUGACUCGAAGCAUGCUUGAAGAGAGGAAAUGCUGCUUUCUGACCACUUUUUUACCGUCUUUUCCCCAUGUUUGAGGUGCUGAAAGCGAAGAAUGUACAGGGGAAUGAGAAGAACACUGUUGUGAUAAGAAGCACCAAAAGACGGCAUAGGCAGAGACUUAUAAGCUUCACUGACUGAGCCAUAACACAGAUCCAGAGUCGUGUUCUUCCUAGCACAGGUGACAUAUUGAUCAUAAGUUCUCAGAAUUUUGUCAAGUUUACAAUGAUUAAUAUCCCCAAGGAUAAAUUUGGGUGCAUCUGGGCAUAUCAAUUCCAGAUAUUGCGUGACGUCAGCAAUCAGCUGGGCAGCAGCUGAUGCAUUGGCUCGUGGAUGAAUGGACACUGAAGUGAAAAACAGUUGUUGGAAUUCGCGAGGCAGAUAGAAGGGGCUCUUCCUGACCACGACAGUUUUACAGUACCUUUGGUUUACGUAGAAACAUUCUCCUCCUCCGCAACUCUUCCCGGUGGCCUCCGGGGACCGGUCCAGCCAAACAGGGCAUCCAAACUAGUGGUGGGCAAAACCAUUCAUUUCAGUGAACCGGAUCAUUCCGGGUCGUUCAGUAAAAAGACCCGUUCAUUUCGUUCAUUUCGGUCAUUAGUCAGUCCGCUCGUUCAUGUUGUUCACGUUCGUUCAGCGUCUGAACGAACGUGAUGAGCAAACAGACUGACUGCACUUCAGACUCAACAGCGCAACAACAUCUGAUCUUGAAAUCUGAAGCAUUACACCCCUCCGGAUCCGACGUUGCAAGCGUCUCAGCUCCCCGGUCCGAAGUUACGACCCCCCCCCCGCGGUCCGACGCCGUGACCGCUGCACUCCCCACUUCCCACCCCCGGUCCAAUGCUGCGAUCGCGCUGCACUCCUUGUAAUAUAAAAUUAUAUUAGGAGUAACAAAAUAUAUAAGGUUUUUACUGGUUAUUUUAUUAUUUUGAGGUGCAUUAAAAACAAUAAUAAAAAGUACAAAAUGUCAACAGACAGUGCAAAUGCGUAUUAAUAGUUGUCUCUCUGCCUCUGGCUGCAGCAGCAGCUGUGUGCCUUUGUUUGUGUGUGUGACUGUCCCGCUCGCUAGGGCUCGGCUGUCGGCUCGUGCGGCGGCCAGUCAACUCGGUCUUUCAGUCAACUCGUUCAUCGUCUGGAUCUUUCGUUCACUUGGUCUUUCAGUCACCUUGUUCACCGUCUGGAUCUUUCGUUCACUCGGUCUUUCAGUCAACUCGUUCAUUGUCUGGAUCUUUCGUUCAUUCGGUCUUUCAGUCAACUCGGUCUUUCGUUCAACUCGGUCUUUCGUUCAUUUAACCCGUUCUUUCAGUCAACUCGGUCAUCCCGGUCUUUCAGUCAGCUCAGUAGUACUGCUGCUGCUUCUCUAAGCCCCACCCACACACAGAACGAGGCGCGACGAUAGGAUAAGACAGGCAAGCACGGAGAUAGUCCCUCUUCAGCCAAUCAAAAGAACUGAACGGACUGAACGGGUCAUUUAGGGGGGGAGAACUAGUUCAUUUCGUUCACCAAAAAGAACUAGUUCUUUUGAUCCGUUCGUUCAAGACCGACACACCACUAAUCCAAACCCGCUUAGCUCCAGAUCGAGUCCGGUAUCAAUUCGCUGAGCCAAGUUUCCGUAAAAGCAAGGAGCGAUAUGUCUUUUGUUUCCCUUUCGAACUUGGCGCUUGCCUCCAGUUCAUCUAUUUUGUGCCGGAUAGACUGCACAUUUGACAGCAGGACAGUGGGAAGAGGCGGAAGCUUACGGCGGCUAUCAAGCCGGAGAUUCUUCAGUCUACGGCGAGUUCCACCUCUUCUUCCCUGUUUCCUACCCUCCUUAGACGGCUUACGAAGCUCCGCCGGAAUGUUUGCAGGAACAUUGCUGGCUGUAGACGUUUGUAGAGAAAGGAGAAGCUCCCGGCUGACAGAGACUCUACCGGUCAUGCUGUGUUCCUUCACAGCGUGACAUACGGUAGAGUGAAAGAGUAGCACUGACACCCAAAACAGUGCAAAAACCUUAACCAUAGUCCUCGAAAUCUGCAUCUCUGAAGCACCGACAGGAUCACUCACACAUCCAACUCAAGAAAAACAACAAAUAAGUUAAAAUACUGACUAAAACACCACAACUAAGACGGCUGGGUAUCCUGCUGGGUCGCACAGUGUGGAGCGCCCCGUUCAGGUGGUGAAGAAGUGAAGAAAUACAAACAAAUUUUGUCUGAUCGUGUCCAUUUCACUGGCCCAAUUCCAAACCAACCCC